GAUGAACGCUGGCGGCGUGCCUAAUACAUGCAAGUCGCACGCGACGCCGGGGUGCUUGCACCCCGGUGGUCGAGUGGCGGACGGGUGAGUAACACGUAGGCAACCUGCCCCGCAGACCGGGAUAACCACGGGAAACCGUGGCUAAUACCGGAUAACCCCCGGUGCCAUAAGGCGCCGGGUUGAAAGACGGUUUCGGCUGUCACUGCGGGAUGGGCCUGCGGCGCAUUAGCUGGUUGGCGGGGUCACGGCCCACCAAGGCGACGAUGCGGAGCCGACCUGAGAGGGUGAUCGGCCACACGGGGAAUGAGACACGGCCCAGGCUCCUACGGGAGGCAGCAGUGGGGAAUUUUGGAGAAUGGGGGCAACCCUGAUCCAGACAUGCCGCGGGAGUGAAGAAGGCCUUCGGGUUGUAGAGCUCUUUCGGUGGGAACGAAACGGUUACGACGAAUACUCGUGACUACUGACGGUACUCACAGAAGAAGCACCGGCUAACUACGUGCCAGCCGCCGCGGUAACAC
rnacentral:rRNA from 1 species